CGUGCCAGCAGCCGCGGUAAUACGGAGGGGGUUAGCGUUGUUCGGAAUUACUGGGCGUAAAGCGCACGUAGGCGGACUGGAAAGUUGGGGGUGAAAUCCCGGGGCUCAACCUCGGAACUGCCUCCAAAACUACUAGUCUAGAGUUCGAGAGAGGUGAGUGGAAUUCCGAGUGUAGAGGUGAAAUUCGUAGAUAUUCGGAGGAACACCAGUGGCGAAGGCGGCUCACUGGCUCGAUACUGACGCUGAGGUGCGAAAGUGUGGGGAGCAAACAGGAUUAGAUACCCUGGUAGUCCACACCGUAAACGAUGAAUGCCAGUCGUCGGCAAGCAUGCUUGUCGGUGACACACCUAACGGAUUAAGCAUUCCGCCUGGGGAGUACGGUCGCAAGAUUAAAACUCAAAGGAAUUGACGGGG
rnacentral:rRNA from 1 species